CUGGUACUAGACGUCUAGACAAGAAACUGGGAGUCGCAGCCCAUGAUGAUUUGCACGGCGCGAUGGCGUGAGCGGCGAGUCGUCGCGAUCAAUCGGAGGAAGGAAAAGCAGCGGAGCGAGCUGGGGAGGCAGGGCGCCGUCGAUCAUAAGAGAGAGGGCCGGAUCCACCCACACCACCAACCCACAGCCACCUACCCCUUUGGAACCGAAGAGCCCACGCGCCGCACCGAGCGGCGAGGCGUGCGACGCGACCGGGCGCCGGCCGGCGGAGGGGGGAUGUGCGAGGGGCGGCGGCCGGCGUGGGCGGCGGGCUGGGAGCUGCGGCGGAGGGAGGCGGCGGCGGACGCGCAGCUGGCGGCGGCGCGGGCACGGCUCGCGGAGGCGCUGGCGGAGCUGGAGCGGGCGCGGGCGCGCGCCGCCGAGCUGCAGCGCCGGCUAGAGCAGACCUACGGCAAGCGCCGCCGGCUCGUCGAGGAGGCGCGCGGCCGGAUCCACGAGAUCCGCGCGCAGCCGACGGCGUCCCCGCCGCCACCCCACGCGGACCCCGAGGCCGAGCCCGAUCGCUCCGCCGCCACUUCCUCCUCGUCUUCUUAGGUGCGUGCGUCCCUUCAUCCGAUCGAGUCUGCUAUCCGGUUCCUCGAUGCUGCCUUGUUGAUCAAACGCUGCCGAUUGCUGGCGGGCAAGGUGUUGCCGAUGAUGCCUGUCGCUGCUGCUUUUCAUUUCCAUUUCGCAUUGGGAGCUGCAACGAGCUAGUUAGGCUAUGUAUGUAAUAUACUAGUGUCAGUGAUCUGCAGAGCAUUAGAAACUUGCUCAGUGACUGAAUCGGAUUGGGAGUCAGUGGUAGAAACAUUCUAAUGCUACAAGAAAUUAAUCUCUGGCCAUCGUUGACCAUCUCCUCUCUCAUUUUUUUAACUAAUGCUCACUUGUCAGUUCCUGUUCU